UGUGAGAUAUGUCAUGCUAGCAGUUUGAGUAGCAUAUUUCUGCUCUCUCAUGACAUUGUUGGCUAGCUGCUGCAUAAAUCCCAAGCACCCCUACGACAAGGCGGACUAUUUAAACGGCCAGGCCCCGCCCACUCUUUUGGUCGACUCUGCUCAUUUAGAAACUUAAGGGAAAAAAAGUGAAAAACUUCGAGGUAACUUGCCUGUAACUGCUUGUUGCUAAUGCUGCUGUUUAUGUAGCCUUUUCAUAAACAGGAUACUCUGCCAACGUCUUCAACGAGUUUCCUGUUUUGUGUGGAAAACUAAGGGAGUCUUCUAAAAGAGGGAUUUAUCAUCAACUGUGAUACCAGGGAUAUGCUUCACUUCAACAAGGUCCACACAUGCAUCUGAAUAUGCACCUACCCUCCCAUCCUGUGCUGUCGGCCCGGCGUGCAUGCCCCUUGCAGACAGUGUUUUAUUAUUCUUGACAGAGUUCACCGAACACAUCUGGUCAGAGGAUAAGAAGGGAUGGAGGGAUGGUGCCAAGAGGCAGAGAGGUGAGUGAGGAGCCAAUGGAGAGGGGUCUGAGCAGGGGGAGGACGAGGACCUACGACCAUCCAUCAUAACCGUCCCUCAUGAGGAAUGCCAGCUCCUUCAAACUAGGGCCAACCUUACUUUUGCUGACCUUUGACCCCUUGGCUCUAAACCGAGAAGACUAUUAGAGCCAUCAGGAAUGAGAUGGAGGGGAUCUGUUAGUGUUGUUCGUAGGUAUUUUAAGUAGUAUGUUUACGUUUAUUGUGACAAAGACCUCUAGCUGCCGUGUGAAUUAUGACUCUUGUCUGUUAGGAGCUAAGGUGGAAGUAGCGUGAUGUAGCCACAGAACUUCAUAGGGAGGAGGUCGGUGUGGAUGGAUGGGUUGACAAAAGGUGUGACUAGGAUAUGGGAGACCGCGGUUUGUUUCCUGUUUUUCAGUCAUCAUUGGUUUCUUUUGACCAUGAGAAAAUUUUUCUCUCAACCAUUGACAAUGAAGAUUCCCUAACUAAGUAGUUUAGCUUAACCAUAGCUGUGUAAGAUCAGAAAUCGCUAAUAUGAAUCUUUUUGUAAGUUACUUGCAGUGUUUGGCGGUAACGCAUUGCUUAGUAACUUUUAAUAGUGAUGUAAUUGCUUCUUUCAGUAAAGCAUGGUGUAAGACAUUCCGAUUUAAAGUUCAGUAAUUACAUUACAGUCACUAAUCCCAGUGACGCUUUGUUACUUUGGUGGUGGAUUUGUUUGCUAUCUUACUGGGAGUUUGAUAGAGGCUUGAUUCUCUGUGCGUUCAGUGGACAGACUGCUGCUGAGGCUGCGUAACAAAUGUAAUGUAACAAGCAAUGUAAUAAUUACUAUUGCUGUCGAUUGUUGUUAGUAAAAUAAUGUAUUUACUUUU